rnacentral:rRNA from 1 species
GAUGAACGCUGGCGGCGUGCCUAAUACAUGCAUGUCGAGCGAACGGACGAGAAGCUUGCUUCUCUGAUGUUAGCGGCGGACGGGUGAGUAACACGUGGAUAACCUACCUAUAAGACUGGGAUAACUUCGGGAAACCGUAGCUAAUACCGGAUAAUAUUUUGAACCGCAUGGUUCAAAAGUGAAAGACGGUCUUGCUGUCACUUAUAGAUGGAUCCGCGCUGCAUUAGCUAGUUGGUAAGGUAACGGCUUACCAAGGCAACGAUGCAUAGCCGACCUGAGAGGGUGAUCGGCCACACUGGAACUGAGACACGGUCCAGACUCCUACGGGAGGCAGCAGUAGGGAAUCUUCCGCAAUGGGCGAAAGCCUGACGGAGCAACGCCGCGUGAGUGAUGAAGGUCUUCGGAUCGUAAAACUCUGUUAUUAGGGAAGAACAUAUGUGUAAGUAACUGUGCACAUCUUGACGGUACCUAAUCAGAAAGCCACGGCUAACUACGUG